AGUUGUAGUCUAGAGAAUCGUUUUCCGCGUUGGCCUGUGUACAAGUCCCUUGGAACAGGGCGUCAUAGAGGGUGAGAAUCCCGUCCUUGACACAGAUUACCAAUGCUUUGUGAUGCGAUCUCGAAGAGUCGAGUUGUUUGGGAAUGCAGCUCAAAAUGGGUGGUAAAUUCCAUCUAAAGCUAAAUAUUGGCGAGAGACCGAUAGCGAACAAGUACCGUGAGGGAAAGAUGAAAAGCACUUUGGAAAGAGAGUUAAACAGUACGUGAAAUUGUUAAAAGGGAAACGAUUGAAGUCAGUCAUGCUUUCCGAGACUCAGCCGAUUCUGUCGGUGUACUUCUCGGUUGGCAGGCCAGCAUCAGUUUCGAUCUGUGGAAAAGGUUGGAGGGAACGUGGCAUCCUCGGAUGUGUUAUAGCCCUUCUUCGAAUACAUAGAGCGGG
rnacentral:rRNA from 1 species